CUAAGAAGUACAGGACAUUCCAACGUGGAUAUCCCAGGAGGUCACUCUCCCCGGGCUCUGUCCUAGUGGCAUGCCAGAGCUUAGGGCAUCACCCAAUGAUGUACAGUCCCUUCCAGAACGUUGGAGAUUAAGCUGGGCUUCGGAGUCUGUGUCUGCAUAUUCCUAUGACUACUCAGAGUCCUGUGGACAAUGACUGAGGAGACAAACCAUGCAGGAAACAAGG
rnacentral:snoRNA from 1 species